rnacentral:rRNA from 1 species
UAGGGAAUAUUGGACAAUGGGGGCAACCCUGAUCCAGCCAUGCCGCGUGAGUGAAGAAGGCCCUCGGGUUGUAAAGCUCUUUUGUCCGGAAAGAAAAGCUUCGGGUUAAUACCCCGGGGUUCUGACGGUACCUCUUGAAUAGCACCGGCUAACUCCGUGCCAGCAGCCGCGGUAAUACGGAGGGUGCAAGCGUUAUCCGGAAUCACUGGGCGUAAAGGGCGCGUAGGCGGUCUGUUAAGUCCGAUGUUAAAUCCCGGGGCUCAACCCCGGAUAAGCGUUGGCUACUGGCAGGCUAGACGGUUGGAGAGGCGAGUGGAAUUACCAGUGUAGCGGUGGAAUGCGUAGAUACUGGUAGGAACACCCAUUGCGAAGGCAGCUCGCUGGACAACACGUGACGCUGAGGCGCGAAAGUGUGGGGAGCAAACC